rnacentral:rRNA from 1 species
GUCUUUUUGAGGAAUAAUUUAAAGUUUAAUCUGCCCCCUGAUUAAAUAUUAAAGGGCUGCAGUAUAUUGACUGUACAAAGGUAGCAUAAUAAAUAGUCUUUUAAUUGAAGACUUGUAUGAAAGAUUUGAUGAAAUAUAAACUGUCUCUAAAUUAAAAAUUGAAAUUAAUUUUUUAAUUAAAAAGUUAAAAUAGAUUAAAAAGACGAGAAGACCCUAUAGAGUUUUAUAAUAAUAAUUUUUUAAUAUUUAAUAUAUAAUAAAUAAAUUUAAAAAUUUAUUAUUAUUUUAUUGGGGUGAUAGAAAAAUUUAAUAAACUUUUUUUAAAAAAUUUACAUAAAUAAAUGAAUUAAUGAUCCAAUUUUGUUGAUUAAAAGAAAAAAUUACCUUAGGGAUAACAGCGUAAUUUUUUUUUUUAGUACAAAUAAAAAAAAAAGGUUGCGACCUCGAUGUUGGAUUAAGAUAAAAUUUAAAUGCAAAAGUUUAAAAUUUUGAUCUGUUCGAUCAUUAAAAUCUUACAU